rnacentral:rRNA from 1 species
AAUUUUGGACAAUGGGGGAAACCCUGAUCCAGCCAUCCCGCGUGUAUGAUGAAGGCCUUCGGGUUGUAAAGUACUUUUGGCAGAGAAGAAAAGGUAUCCCCUAAUACGGGAUACUGCUGACGGUAUCUGCAGAAUAAGCACCGGCUAACUACGUGCCAGCAGCCGCGGUAAUACGUAGGGUGCAAGCGUUAAUCGGGAUUACUGGGCGUAAAGGGGGGGUAGGCGGGUCGGAAAGAAAGAUGUGAAAUCCCAGGGCUCAAACUUGGAACUGCAAUUUUAACUGCCGGAGUAGAGGAAGUCAGAGGGGGGUAGAAUUCCACGUGUAGCAGUGAAAAGCGUAGAUAUGUGGAGGAAUACCGAUGGCGAAGGCAGCCCCCUGGGAUAAUACUGACGCUCAGACACGAAAGCGUGGGGAGCAAACAGG